AACGAACGCUGGCGGCAUGCCUAACACAUGCAAGUCGAACGAAGCCUUCGGGCUUAGUGGCGCACGGGUGCGUAACGCGUGGGAAUCUGCCCUUUGGUUCGGAAUAACAGUUGGAAACGACUGCUAAUACCGGAUGAUGACGAAAGUCCAAAGAUUUAUCGCCAGAGGAUGAGCCCGCGUAGGAUUAGCUAGUUGGUGUGGUAAAGGCGCACCAAGGCGAAGAUCCUUAGCUGGUCUGAGAGGAUGAUCAGCCACACUGGGACUGAGACACGGCCCAAACUCCUACGGGAGGCAGCAGUGGGGAAUAUUGGACAAUGGGCGAAAGCCUGAUCCAGCAAUGCCGCGUGAGUGAUGAAGGCCCUAGGGUUGUAGAGCUCUUUUACCCGGGAUGAUAAUGACAGUACCGGGAGAAUUAGCCCCGGCUAACUCCGUGCCAGCCGCCGCCGUAA
rnacentral:rRNA from 1 species